rnacentral:lncRNA from 1 species
UUUGAAGUCUGAACCUCUCCGAGCUCGAGAUACUCUUAGGCAGCAGUUUGCCUUCAAAGUCGCCUCCCUGGCUGUGCUUGCCACCUCUUGUGAUUUAGCACUGCAGCUCGCAUUUCUUCCACAGCUAGUCAUGAGGUUUACUUGCUAAAAUCUCAUCUUCUCCUCUUAAUUAGGCAUUUUCAUGCAAUGAACCAUAUGGAAGUCAAUGCAAAAGGUGUUGAUGUGCAGCAUGGAUGCUGAUUGAUAAAGCUGGCAGAUGGGGAGAUCAUCGGCUUUGAAGACUGUGAAGUUUCCUCUGGAACUAAAUAAAUAAGGAAAAUGUGUCUGUGGCUUAAAUAUCUCGCCCAGCCCUACUGCUCUGCCAUCGCUCGGCUAAGCUCAGAACUACUGACGUUUUAAUGGGGAUAGCAAAAAUUCAAAUUCCUGCAUCCAAACUCAGUGCCCAAGGUUAGGUCAGCUAUGGAAACCCUCAGUUCAAGGCUCUUGCAGCUCGUACGUAAACGCAAUAGGUAGCCAGGCAGCUGCUUGGAAAGUGCUCGCGAGGAGCCUGUCCACUGGGAUUCUGGAGCAGAAGACACACUUUGGUCUUAGAGGGGUGCCAAUUCAGCGAGGCCAGAUUCUGUCACCUUUACUUCCAGCAAGGCAUUUGUCCCACGGACCUCCACAGCUCCUGGAAGAAAUAAAGCUCUGCAAAGCAGAUCCUGGCUGGCCAGGACUCAGUUCCUCUGUCUGGCUCUUUUACCGAGGGAGAGGC